rnacentral:tRNA from 1 species
GCGUCGGUGGUAGAGUGGUCAAUUACACCACGCUGUAAACGUGGCGCCCUUGCGGCUACGGAGGUUCGAAUCCUCCCCGGCGCACCC